AGUUGCGAUCAUACCAGCACUAAUGCACCGGAUCCCAUCAGAACUCUGCAGCUAAGCGUGCUUGGGCGAGAGUAGUACUAGGAUGGGUGACCUCCUGGGAAGUCCUCGUGUUGCACUUC
rnacentral:rRNA from 1 species